rnacentral:rRNA from 1 species
UACAGAGGUCUCAAGCGUUGUUCGGAUUCAUUGGGCGUAAAGGGUGUGUAGGUGGCGCGCUAAGUCGGGUGUGAAAUUUCGGAGCUUAACUCCGAAACUGCAUUCGAUACUGCCGUGCUUGAGGACUGGAGAGGAGACUGGAAUUUACGGUGUAGCGGUGAAAUGCGUAGAUAUCGUAAGGAAGACCAGUGGCGAAGGCGGGUUACUGGGCUGAUACUGACGCUGAUGCGCGAAAGCUAGGGGAGCAAACGGG